rnacentral:rRNA from 1 species
UACGAAGGGGGCUAGCGUUGCUCGGAAUCACUGGGCGUAAAGGGUGCGUAGGCGGGUCUUUUAAGUCAGGGGUGAAAUCCUGGAGCUCAACUCCAGAACUGCCUUUGAUACUGAAGAUCUUGAGUUCGGGAGAGGUGAGUGGAACUGCGAGUGUAGAGGUGAAAUUCGUAGAUAUUCGCAAAAACACCAGUGGCGGAAGGCGG